rnacentral:rRNA from 1 species
GUACUCCUACGGGAGGCAGCAGUGGGGAAUAUUGCACAAUGGGGGAAACCCUGAUGCAGCAACGCCGCGUGAGUGAUGACGGUCUUCGGGUUGUAAAACUCUGUCUGCACGACGAUAAUGAUGUAGGCAUGAGAUGUAAUCCACCCG